UACGGAGGGUGCGAACGUUAAUCGGAAUCACUGGGCGUAAAGCGCGCGUAGGCGGUUUGUUAAGUGGGAUGUGAAAUCCCCGGGCUUAACCUGGGAAUUGCAUUUCAAACUGGCCGACUAGAGUACGGUAGAGGGAGGUAGAAUUUCCUGUGUAGCGGUGAAAUGCGUAGAUAUAGGAAGGAAUACCAGUGGCGAAGGCGGCCUCCUGGAUCGAUACUGACGCUGAGGCGCGAAAGCGUGGGAGCAACAGG
rnacentral:rRNA from 1 species